rnacentral:rRNA from 1 species
UACGAAGGGGGCUAGCGUUGUUCGGAUUUACUGGGCGUAAAGCGCACGUAGGCGGUUUGUUAAGUCAGAGGUGGAAUCCUGGAGCUCAACUCCAGAACUGCCUUUGAUACUGGCAAGCUCGAGUCCGGAAGAGGUAAGUGGAACUCCUAGUGUAGAGGUGGAAUUCGUAGAUAUUAGGAAGAACACCAGUGGCGAAGGCGGCUUACUGGUCCGGAACUGACGCUGAGGUGCGAAAGCGUGGGGAGCAAACAGG